UCAGCCUUCUCAUGAGCAUCCAGUGACAGAGAUGUGGAAAAGAACCUUCUGUGGGGAGAGUAAAGUUUGAAACAGUGAGGAACAGAGGAUGAUGUUCGAGAAGCCACAGGAGGAGACACCAGUGGACACCAGCAAGGAGAGGAGCCAGGGAGAAGGAAAUGGGGAAGACAUUCCUCAAGGAGCAGCUCUGAGCUCCGCGGCUUUGGGGGCCAUGGAGUCACAAGAGCUUAAGAUGUCCCUUCAGCACCAGCUGGGCAUGGGCAAUAGUGAGAGGAGAGGGUGGCAGCUAUGACAUCAGUGUUUGUGUCUUUACCUGCACAUGGGGAGAAAAUUCCAUCUGUUUCCCAUAAGUAGGGCCAUCUUUGAACAGAAGAGGCAGUUGUGUGUUUCCACAAAUGUGGCGACAUACAUUGUAGGACACGCCAAGACUUUGCUGUAGCCCAGCCAUAGGCUCUUAGACUUUGGCGGGUUGUUCUCUUCCCCCUAUCCCUUCAUUUCUUCUGUCCACCAAAAUGUAUUGAGUUCAUCCUGGGAGCCAGACACUGGUAGGUGCUGGGGAUAUAGGCAGGAAUGUGCUUUCAUGAGAGACAAGAAAGCCUGACCUUGCUGCCACAGAAAUUUCAUUGCACUGUGAGACAGAGAUGUGCCAAUAGAAAGAUCCACAUAAGAAGCAUAAGAAGAAGCAUAAGAAGAGCAUAAGAAGCAUUAGAACGGGCAUGAAAGUCCAUCCAGGGGACACUUUUUACCCAAAUUUGAGAGGCCAGGAGAGCUUCCUGGAGAAAGUGACAUGUAAGGCAAGACCUGAAAGACAAACCCAAUUACCUGGAGAGGUGAGGAAGGAAGAGGGACAGGUGUUCCAAGAAAGGCAGAUAGCAUAUUGAGGGGAGCAGUGGGAAAGAGAAGGGGAACUCCAGGAACUGAAGUGAUCCCCACCACCAGAGCAUGGAGUGUGAGUGAAAAGUCUGCAGAGGGCUGGUGACCGGGACCUCUGAACACGGGAGGCCAGACAGUAUUCUAAGAUCAACGGGAAACCAUUGCAAAGUUUCACCCAGAGGAGUAAUGUGAUCAGAUUUGCAUCUUAGAACAGUUGUUUUGGCACUUCUGACUGGAAGGGCAAGAAUGGCCAGUGUUGUUGUUACCUGAAGGGUAAAUGUGGCCCACAAUAUGAAAUGCAGUGAAGAAGGAGACAUAUGCAUAUAUGUAAGUAAAUAUAAUCGAGGUAUAUUUAGCAGACAGAAUCAAUAGACUUGAUGAGUGAUGGACUGGAUGUGUGAGGAGUCUAGAUCACUUCCAAGUUGCUGAUUUGGGCAACUCAGUACUAAUCAAUGAAAAAGAAGAUCCACAGGGAGGAACUUGUCUAAGGGGUGAGGUGGGGCUGAACAGCUGCGUUUGAGACUGGAGAAGUGUGUGCUGGGCAUGGGAUGCACAAGUGGAAAUGCCUUUGGGUCUGCAGCUCAGACGUGGGCAUGACCAGCAUAGAGAUAGAGAGGCCCCAGGCUGCCAGGUGAGUGUGAUCCCCAGGUGAUGGUGUCAGCUGAGAAGGGAAGGAAGCCCCUGUGAGGACACUGAAGUGGCGAGGGCAGACAACAAGGAGUCCACAGGAGACAGGAAAGGAAGAACUAGAGGGAGGAGCCAAGCCAGGCAUGUGUGGUGACAUAGGAACCGAGGGAGAGGACAUCUCAAGAUUGAGGGGACGCUGCACAACAGGAGGACUGUGUGGUUUUUGGCCACAUCCACAGGAAGUCACAACAGGCAAGGAAAAGAAACUGGCAAUCAGACAUGGAGUUGAGGAGUGAAUCAGAGAGGAGAUGGGCAGGGACAGCAGGGUGAGGCCUCUUUCUGAGGAAGUUUGGCUAAAGGAUAGAUCAGCUGGGACACAUGCUGGAAGGGUGUAUGGGGUGGAGGGAGGAACGGUGGAGGGCAGGAGAGCCUUGAGCCUGAGAGAAGAGUCUCCUAGAAUAGAGAAGCCGAGGUUAAAAUUGUGGGAGAGAGUGGGGAUAACUGAGUGACAGAUAAUCAGGAGAACAAAAGGAGCUCCAGAAUCAUGACAGAGAGAUGACCUUUGCCAAGAGCACAGCCCCCUCCCCUGUGACAGAGGGGUAGGACAAAACAAUUGGUGUUCAAGUGUUGGUUUAACUAUGUCCUUUAAAACAUUUCUCCACAGACACUGCCCAAAGCAGCCCUUCACUACAGUGGCAGAUACACCUGCAAAUCUUCGCCUAAAACAGUGACCUGACCAAGCUAACUGCUGCUGCCUGGAACACUGUCCUUACUUUAGAAAUGUCGACCAGAUUGUAGGAUACCCAAACAACCUUUUCAAGCAGAAAGCAAACAGAUUAAGAAAGUAGCCAGAUGAGUUAGCGAGCCCAACAGUGACUUUUGUUUCUUUUUUUCCCUGUUCCCUUUUCUUUUCAUGAUAGGAAAGGCUGGACAGGGAUGCGUUGCAAAAGCAGUGAUCUAGCUUAUCUUGCCACCACCCAGGAUGGCCCAGGAUGUGGGUUCUCCUUGAAUGAAUGUUUGGCAGUCUGGCAGCCUGACAUGGUCUGCCUCCUUCUUUGGUCUGAGCUUGCCCACUGCUUAGAAAGGGCCAUGGGCAGUUCUGUCAGGGAGUUUUCCCAACAUUGAGAAGGUGACAUUUCUACUCCCCGUUGCAGUCUGCACCUCUGACCUGUGGUCAGCAGACAGGACAGAGGCACUCAGUAGACAGAGCUCAGAGGACAGCACUCAGUCCCGGCGGAAGGUUCAAUGUCCAGCUUUGCACCCACCCCAUGUGACCACAAGCAGGCUCCAUGACCUUGUGGGUCAGUUUCCUCACCCUGUUCAGGAGGAAUUGUACUACCAUCCUGUUAGGAAAUUUGUGAGGAUCACUGCGUUACUCAUGUAAGGUCUUUGGAAAGUGUCAUGUUAUUGUUUAUUAACUGCUUGUUGGUGGCCUGGCUGAGCCACAUCCUUUAUGAAAACCAGAACCCCUCAGCAGGUGUGGAUGUCUGUGCAGCCUGAGACCCUUGUGUGAACAGCCUUCUGGCAGCUGUUUUUUCCCCUUGCCACAAUCAGUGCCUCCCUGUCCCCAGGCGUUGCUUUCUCUGCUGGGUGCUGGGUGCUCCACUGUUUUCCUACACCUCAGUUGUCUACAGGUGUAUGUCUGUUCUGGAAUCUAACUGAGGUGGCAUCGAUAGCAGUUCUGCUGUGGCACUGCCCUUCUUCUUAGGUUGUCUUUUGAGAGCAAGAGAGGUCCCUUCACAUACCCCAAGAACUUACCUGCAUUUGCCCACAUAGUCUCCAUUUAGAAAAUGGGAAAAGUCACGUCUGCCUACCUGCCAAUGGGGUAAGAGGACAACUACCUUAUAAACUUUAAAUGACUUAUUGCAACCAUCUGAAUUAAUGUUGCUUAAACAGCAUGUAUCUUGGCUGCUUAAAAACCAGAUAAGAAUUUCCAUAACAUUAAUUUAUUUAUAACACCAUAUUGGGUGUGAACCUAUCAUAAAGUUCACCCAACUAUAAAGGUACACAAUUGAUGAUUUAUUAAAUUGACACUGUGUGUAGCCAUCACCAUGAUCUAACUUAAAAAUGUUUGUUUCUCUGGGGGAGAAGCCAAGAUGGCCGAAUAGGAACAGCUCUGGUCUACAGCUCCCAGCAUGAGCGACACAGAAGACGGGGGAUUUCUGCAUUUCCAUCUGAGGUACCAGGUUCAUCUCACUAGGGAGUGCCAGACAGUGGGCGCAGGACAGUGGGUGCAGCACACCGUGUGCGAGCCAAAGCAGGGUGAGUCAUUGCCUCACUCGGGAAGCACAAGGGGUCAGGGAGUUCCCUUUCCUGGUCAAGGAAAGGAGUGACAGACGGCACCUGGAAAAUCGGGUCACUCCCACCCAAAUACUGUGCUUUUCUGACGGGCUUAGGAAACGGCACACCAGGAGAUUAUAUCCCGCACAUGGCUCGGAGGGUCCUAUGCCCACGGAGUUUCGCUGAUUGCUAGCACAGCAGCCUGAGAUCAAACUGCAAGGCGGCAGCAAGGCUGGGGGAGGGGCGCCCGCCAUUGCCCAGGCUUGCUUAGGUAAAGCAGCCAGGAAGCUCAAACUGGGUGCAGCCCACCACAACUCAAGGAUGCCUGCCUGCCUCUGUAGGCUCCACCUCUGGGGGCAGGGCACAGACAAACAAAAAGACAGCAGUAAC
rnacentral:lncRNA from 1 species